rnacentral:piRNA from 1 species
UCUGUCUGCAUAUAGAUUUGCACACCAGA